rnacentral:rRNA from 1 species
GACGAACGCUGGCGGCGUGCUUAACACAUGCAAGUCGAACGGAAAGGCCCUGCUUUUGUGGGGUGCUCGAGUGGCGAACGGGUGAGUAACACGUGAGUAACCUGCCCUUGACUUUGGGAUAACUUCAGGAAACUGGGGCUAAUACCGGAUAGGAGCUCCUGCUGCAUGGUGGGGGUUGGAAAGUUUCGGCGGUUGGGGAUGGACUCGCGGCUUAUCAGCUUGUUGGUGGGGUAGUGGCUUACCCAGGCUUUGACGGGUAGCCGGCCUGAGAGGGUGACCGGCCACAGUGGGACUGAGAUACGGCCCAGACUCCUACGGGAGGCAGCAGUGGGGAAUAUUGCACAAUGGGCGGAAGCCGGAUGCAGCAACGCCGCGUGCGGGAUGACGGCCUUCGGGUUGUAAACCGCUUUCGCCUGUGACGAAGCGUGAGGGACGGUAAUGGGUAAAGAAGCACCGGCUAACUACGG